GCCUGCUGAGUAUGUACAGGAGAACAGUUUGUACAUAAAUAGGCAAUAGUUAUAAAUAUCAGCAGUUUGGCUGGUACAAAAUUAAAAAAGAAGAUAUUGUACAUUAUCUACAGGAGAAGUGCCACUUUGGGUUUUAUGUACAGCUUUGUCUCUGGGUGGAUUGUCCAUGUUAGUCCAUUCACAUGUUACCUGAGCUGCGUUGCACAUGCAGCCACAGCGGCGGGUACACAGUAUGUGUUCGGGGUUGGGAAGAGAGGGGGGCGGGAUUUGUGGCAUUUGGGCAACAGCAGACUUGAGGUGGUGGCUGUGUUGGUACGAAUGGUGGGUGCAGCUUCUAUCAUAAGCCUAUUGAAAGAGACAGGAUUAUUGAGCUGGGUGUCUUCCUGCAGCGUGAUGGCGUUACUUUUUUAAAAGUCUAGAGGGGAUUAUUAGUUGCUGGGUGUCUCCUUUAGAUAUUACAACGCACACUCACGGUCACACGGCUCAAUCACAGAACCUGGAGCGGAAAAACACACACAUAUAUCCGUCAUGACCAGUAAUGGCACUGGGUGCGAAUGCUAUUCAGCGGUUAGUUUGUUUAUGAAGCACACUGCGGCUAUGUACAGCUCUGGAUGUGCAGAUCUGACAGCAUCGAGUCCAUUCUUGCAGUUUUAAUCGCCACAUAAAAAAAACCACUUUAUGUAAAGACAGUAAAACUGCUGUCACUUGUAGUAGGUCCUCACACCCCUUCUCCGACCACCAGCGCAAUGAAAGAAAACACAUGGAAAUCCUUUUAUUCUAGUCACAAGCACGACUGCUCAGACCGACACCGAACACGGCGACAACGAUGCUCAUCAGUCUCCUGUGAGCCGCAUACGAACAUGCACAAAGUGCCCGCAGAAACAGAUUUCACCGACAGCAGGUGAGUUACGAUUGGUCCCUGAAGGCUGAGCUUACACAUUCAAACGGGCGGUGCAGACCACGUGCAGAGCAACCCAGUGGUACAGGGGGAAAAUAAACAGGGGGAGGGGCUUCAGGUCAUUUACCUUUUUUUUUUGUUCAAUAUUUC
ensembl:lncRNA